rnacentral:lncRNA from 1 species
CCUUACCUUAGAAGAAAACUGGAUACUGGAAUAGUGAGGUAGCAGACUUCUCUUUUUCUUUCUCUCUAUAAUUUCUCUCUAUAAUAAUUGCUCUAUAGCUUUAGUGAAUUGGUAAAAAAUAAUGAAAAAAUGAGCUUCUAUUUAUAGGAAAAUAUAGUUUCGAUAAUUGCACGUUUUGGGGCUCGAAAUAUUACAGUAUAAUAUCUUCCUCUUUUUCUUC